AAAUUGAAGAGUUUGAUCAUGGCUCAGAUUGAACGCUGGCGGCAGGCCUAACACAUGCAAGUCGAACGGUAACAGGAAGCAGCUUGCUGCUUUGCUGACGAGUGGCGGACGGGUGAGUAAUGUCUGGGAAACUGCCUGAUGGAGGGGGAUAACUACUGGAAACGGUGGCUAAUACCGCAUAACGUCGCAAGACCAAAGAGGGGGACCUUCGGGCCUCU
rnacentral:rRNA from 6 species